GCUGGGUGUGGUGGUGCACACCUGUAGUCCCAGCUACUCGGGAGGCUGAGGCAGGAGAAUCACUUGAACCUGGGAGGUGGAGGUUGCAGUGAGCCAAGAUCAUGCCACUGCACUGCAGCCUGGGUGACAGAGUGAGACUCUGUCUCUC
ensembl:misc_RNA Metazoa_SRP Metazoan signal recognition particle RNA